CCCCUAGAUGUUCUGGGCCGCACGCGCGCUACACUGAACAGUUCAACAAGUCUUAACCUUGGCCGACAGGCCCGGGCAAUCUUUGAACGCUGGUCGUGAUGGGGAUAGACUUUUGCAAUUUUUGGUCUUCAACGAGGAAUUCCUAGUAAACGCAAGUCAUCAACUUGCAUUGAUUACGUCCCUGCCCUUUGUACACACCGCCCGUCGCACCUACCGAUUGAAUGGUCCGGUGAAGCCUCCGGAUUGGCGCGCACCUCGGUGCCGCCGAGAAGUUGGCUAAACCUUACCAUUUAGAGGAAGGUGAAGUCGUANCA
rnacentral:rRNA from 1 species